UAACUGGGCGUAAAGGGCACGCAGGCGGUGACUUAAGUGAGGUGUGAAAGCCCCGGGCUUAACCUGGGAAUUGCAUUUCAUACUGGGUCGCUAGAGUACUUUAGGGAGGGGUAGAAUUCCACGUGUAGCGGUGAAAUGCGUAGAGAUGUGGAGGAAUACCGAAGGCGAAGGCAGCCCCUUGGGAAUGUACUGACGCUCAUGUGCGAAAGCGUGGGGAGCAAACAGGAUUAGAUACCCUGGUAGUCCACGCUGUAAACGAUGUCGAUUUGGGGGUUGAGCUUUAAGUUUGGCGCCCGUAGCUAACGUGAUAAAUCGACCGCCUGGGGAGUACGGCCGCAAGGUUAAAACUCAAAUGAAUUGACGGGGGCCCGCACAAGCGGUGGAGCAUGUGGUUUAAUUCGAUGCAACGCGAAGAACCUUACCUACUCUUGACAUCCAGAGAACUUUCCAGAGAUGGAUUGGUGCCUUCGGGAGCUCUGAGACAGGUGCUGCAUGGCUGUCGUCAGCUCGUGUCGUGAGAAG
rnacentral:rRNA from 1 species